UACGUAGGGGGCGAGCGUUGUCCGGAUUCAUUGGGCGUAAAGAGCUCGUAGGCGGCUUGGUUAGUUGGGUGUGAAACCUCCAGGCUUAACCUGGAGACGCCACUCAAUACUGCCAUGGCUAGAGUCCGGUAGGGGACCACGGAAUUCCUGGUGUAGCGGUGAAAUGCGCAGAUAUCAGGAGGAACACCGGUGGCGAAGGCGGUGGUCUGGGCCGGCACUGACGCUGAGGAGCGACAACAUGGGGAGCAAACAGG
rnacentral:rRNA from 1 species